GUCGUCAAAGUUUUCCCUUCAUGGACUUCUAGAGCAACAGAGAAUGAAUACAUUUGUUUUAUUUAGAGAGUGAGUGAGAGAGAGAAAGGAGAGCUCUCCUAGUUUGCAAGCAUAGAGGAUGGACCGUGAGCAUGUAUGAAUAUGGAUGUGCCUGUGCUUCAGUAUAUGACAGGGUAGAAGAUUUUGGAGUGUGUCACAUGCCGAGCCGAGAGGAGUACCCGCAUGUGAUAGGAUGCACACACAGACUUGUCAACAACACCCUGAAGAUUAUUAGUUCAUAACCACCAGGAGUGAGGGAUUCCCUUAAAGAGAAAGACACAGAGAGAGAGAGAGAGAGAGAGAGAGAGAGAGAGAGGGGGAGAAGGAUGAAGUACCGCCGUAGGGCGGUUGAUGUAGAGGGGGGUAUAAGGUUAGUGAUGGAGAGCGCUCUCUCUGCAAGAGAUCGGGUCGGUGUCCAAGACUUUCUGCUCUUGGAGAACCACAACAGUGAAGCUGCUUUCAUUGAAAACCUGCGCCGACGGUACAGAGAGGGCCUCAUUUAUACAUAUAUUGGGUCAGUGCUGGUGUCAGUGAAUCCUUACAGAGAGUUGGAGAUUUACUCCAAACAGAAUAUGGAGCGCCACAGAGGAGUCAAUUUCUAUGAGAUCUCACCUCACAUUUUUGCCCUGGCGGAUAAUUCAUACCGUGCGCUGCGGACUGAGAGAAGAGAUCAGUGCAUUCUUAUUUCGGGAGAGAGUGGCGCUGGAAAGACUGAGGCCUCCAAAAAAAUACUUCAGUACUACACACACAUCUGUCCCACUCGCAACAACACACACACUAUCAGAGAGAGACUGUUGCAGUCCAACCCAGUACUGGAGGCUUUUGGGAAUGCUAAAACUCUCCGGAAUGACAACUCAAGUCGUUUUGGGAAAUACAUGGACAUUCAAUUUGAUUAUAAGGGCGCUCCAAUCGGAGGUCACAUUCUGAACUACCUUUUAGAGAAAUCCCGUGUGGCCCAUCAGAACCAUGGUGAGAGAAACUUCCACAUCUUCUAUCAGCUGCUGGAGGGUGGAGAGGACCCUCUUUUGAAGAGACUUGGUUUGGAGAAAACCAACCCACAACAUUAUCAUUACCUUGUUAAGGGUAACUGUCCACGGGUGAGCUCUAUCAAUGAUAAGAACGGUUGGAAAGUUGUGAGAAACGCUCUCAACAUCAUUGGCUUUCAUGAGGAGGAGAUACAGGAGCUGAUGGAGAUUGUGGCCAGUGUUUUACAUCUGGGUAACACACAGUUUGGUGAGGAUGAGGAGGGAGAAACACACGUAACCACUGAACCGCAACUGCAAUAUCUGUCUCAGCUGCUGGGUGUGGACGGGUCAGUCCUGAAAGAAGCUCUUACUCACAAGAAAAUUGUUGCCAAAGGGGAGGAGAUGAUUAGUCCCUUGAGUUUAGAACAGGCGCUUUCUGCUCGGGACUCAUUGGCCAAAGCCAUAUAUGGUCGUGCUUUUACCUGGCUUGUCCAGAAGUUAAACCAAUCACUGGCCUUUAAGGAUGAAGUCUACUACUCCAGUAAAUGUUCUUCUAUUAUUGGUUUGCUGGACAUAUAUGGAUUUGAGGUCUUUCAACGCAACAGUUUUGAGCAGUUCUGCAUCAAUUACUGCAAUGAAAAACUGCAGCAGCUGUUUAUUGAGCUCACACUGAAAAGUGAACAGGAAGAGUACGAGGCAGAGGGGGUCGUGUGGGAACGAGUGGAAUAUUUCAACAACAAAAUCAUCUGUGACCUGGUGGAGGAAAAACAUAAAGGCAUCAUCGCCAUUCUGGACGAGGAGUGCUUAAGACGAGGAGAUGCCAGUGACAUCACCUUCCUGGAGAAGCUGGAGGACACACUGGGAGGCCAUGCUCAUUUUGUAACUCAUAAAAUGGCCAAUGGGAAGGUCCGCAAGGCAAUUGGACGGGAGGAAUUUAGACUGGUUCAUUAUGCAGGAGAUGUAAACUACAAUGUCAAUGGGUUUCUGGACAAAAAUAAUGACCUGCUAUACAGACACCUGAAGGAGGUGCUGUGUCAAUCGGGAAAUCACAUCGUGAGUCAGUGUUUCCAUGCAGAUGAGUUGAUGGAUCAGAGAAGACCAGAGUCGGCUGCUACACAGUUCAAGCUCAGUUUGGCUAAACUGAUGGAGAUUCUGAUGUCUAAGGAACCAUCAUAUGUCCGCUGUAUAAAACCCAAUGACGCUAAACAGCCAAGUAGAUUUGAUGAGGUUUUGGUCAGGCAUCAGGUGAAGUAUUUGGGUUUGAUGGAGAAUCUGAGAGUAAGGAGAGCUGGAUUUGCCUACAGACGAAACUAUGAGGUGUUCUUAGAGAGAUAUAAGUCUCUGUGUCCAGACACCUGGCCAAACUGGCGUGGGAAACUCCCAGAGGGGGUCGAAACUCUGGUCAAACACCUCAACUACAGACCUGAAGAAUACAAACUGGGCAGGUCCAAAAUCUUUAUUCGAUUCCCAAAGACUCUGUUUGUGACUGAGGAUGCACUUGAGGCUCGGAAACAAACCAUCGCCGUCACUCUGCAGACAUCUUGGCGGGGCUACAGGGAGCGAGCCAAGUACCACCGGAUCCGACAUGCAGUAAUUGUCAUCCAGUCAUGGUGGAGAGGGGUCAAAGGCCGCAGGAGAGCCAAGCAUCGUAGACAAGCAGCUGACACUAUACGCAAGUUUAUCAAAGGCUUCAUUCUGCGCAAUGAGCCUCGUUGCCCUGACAAUGAGUACUUCCUGGAUCAUGUGCGAUUCUCCUUCUUGAUGAAAGUGAAACGAAAUCUGCCAAAAAGUGUUCUUGACAAGAGCUGGCCAAGACCACCGCCAUCACUCACUGAGGCAUCUGAGCAUCUUCACAGAAUAUGUAUACGCAACCUGGUCAAUGACUAUUGCAGGAGAAUCCAGCCAGAGUGGAAGAAGCAGUUGGAACAGAAGGUUGUAGCCAGUGCAAUCUUUAGUGGUCAGAAGGACUGCUACCCUCAAAGUGUUCCCAAACUCUUUGUAGCCACCAGGCUAGAGACUGAAGAUAUCAAUCUCAAAGUGCUGCAAACUCUUGGGAAUGACAACAAGGUGAAGUAUGGUAUAGCGGUCACUAAGUACGAUCGGCAUGGUUUCCGUGCACGUGUGCGUCAGCUGCUGUUGACCGCUUCGUCUGCUGUGCUGGUCCAGGAAGCAAAAAUCAAACAACGUAUCGAAUACGGCACAUUGCUGGGUAUCUCUGUCAGUUCCCUCAGUGAUGGAUUCUUUGUUUUGCAUAUUCCCACCACUGACAGUAAGCAGAAGGGUGACUUGGUGCUGCAAUGCGAUCAUGUGAUUGAGGCUGUCACCAAGCUGGCCAUCAUGGCAGACAAGAUACACAAUGUCAACAUCAGCCAGGACAGAGCGUGCUUUACUCUUCCAGUAUCAGGUUUGCCAUAGCAAAGGGAAAGGAGGGAGUGAUAGACUUCACCAGUGGUUCGGACCUGCGAGUGGUCAAGACCAAGAAUGGACACCUGUCUGUGACCACCCCACGAAUCUCAUGAACAGCCAAUGGCAGCUGACCGGCAAUGGACAGAUCACUUUAGCCAAUCACUACACAGAGCCAGACUACACUUUUUAUCAUUCAUUUCAGUCUCACUCCAAAAGCACAUAUUAGCAAGUGUAUAUUAACGGCAUUUGUAAUCCCUUUUUUGAAUACUGAAUUUAGAUAACAUUUAAUGAAGAUUUUGUGAAUUAACUGAUGACAUCAUUUUAUAAAUUCUCUCAUCUAACCAAUCAAAUGAAUCUUUGCUAUUUCGAUUGUUAGCUUCAAGCUUUACUAUACAGAUAUGCUACAGUGUAUUUUUGAGAAUUCUCAUGAACUACAUAAUUUAAAAAACUACAACACUUAGUCAUUUACAAAUAACACCACUACCUAUCAGCAGAGACAAUUUAUAACUCAAUAAUUGUUAACUAAUUUGAAAAAAAAAAAAAAAAUGAUUUAAUGCAAUGGCUUAUGAGUAAUAUGUUAUCUUUGGUUUGCUCUAUUAUUUCUCUUUAAAACUUCAGACAGAUGCCAAAAAACUGCUUUUUCAGCCAGUGUUUUGAAAUGGAGAUCAGUCACGACAUGCCUAAAUUUACGUUGAGCCAUGUGUUCCGUAUGACCUCAAGUACCAUCUGUUUUGUGGAAGAAAAUCUGUCACAUAAAUACUCAUGCACUAGAAA